rnacentral:rRNA from 1 species
CCUACGGGAGGCAGCAGUGGGGAAUAUUGCACAAUGGGGGAAACCCUGAUGCAGCGACGCCGCGUGAGUGAAGAAGUAUUUCGGUAUGUAACGCUCUAUCAGCAGGGAAGAAAAUGACGGUACCUGAUUAAGCAGCCCCGGCUAACUACGUGCCAGCAGCCGCGGUAAUACGUAGGGGGCAAGCGUUCUCCGGAUUUACUGGGUGUAAGGGGAGCGUAGACGGCAGCACAAGUCUGGAGUGAAAUGCCGGGGCUUAACCCCGGAACUGCUUUGGAAACUGUGCAGCUAGAGUGCAGGAGAGGUAAGUGGAAGUCCUGGUGUAGCGGUGAAAUGCGUAGAGAUUAGGAGGAACACCAGUGGCGAAGGCGGCUUACUGGACUGUAACUGACGUUGAGGCUCGAAAGCGUGGGGAGCAAACAGGAUUAGAUACCCCUGUAGUC